rnacentral:rRNA from 1 species
GAUGAACGCUGGCGGCGUGCCUAAUACAUGCAAGUCGAGCGAACAGAUGAGGAGCUUGCUCCUCUGACGUUAGCGGCGGACGGGUGAGUAACACGUGGAUAACCUACCUAUAAGACUGGGAUAACUUCGGGAAACCGGGGCUAAUACCGGAUAACAUUUUGAACCGCAUGGUUCUAAAGUGAAAGAUGGUUUUGCUAUCACUUAUAGAUGGAUCCGCGCCGUAUUAGCUAGUUGGUAAGGUAACGGCUUACCAAGGCAACGAUACGUAGCCGACCUGAGAGGGUGAUCGGCCAAAAUGGAACUGGGGCACGGUCCAGACUCCUACGGGGAGCAGGCGGAGGGAAUCUUCCGGAAUGGGCGGAAGGCUGACGGAGGAAAGGCGCGGGAGUGAUGAAGGGCUUUGGAUCGGAAAACUCUGGUAAUAGGGAAGAACAAAAGUGUAAGGAACUGUGCACGUCUUGACGGUAACUAAUCAAAAAGGCACGGCUGACUACGGG